CCUGGCUUCCCUGGGGGUCCUCAGCACUGACAUGGGACCUGGUACUGAGCUGGCAUCUUGGUACUGAGCUGGAUAUAUGCUGAAUGAGCAAUGGUUGUGCUGGGCAGAGGAUUGUGGCAGAGGCUCUCUGGAGAUGCAGACAUGAAAUCCCACUCUUGACCCCAAAUGUCAUUUUCCAGCUCAGAAUGAGCAUGAAGAAAGUGCAGGUAAGAAAUUCAGGGAAGUUGGGGGCACACAGUCACCUUUUUUUUUC
rnacentral:lncRNA from 1 species